CACGUAGGGUGCGAGCGUUGUCCGGAAUUAUUGGGCGUAAAGAGCUCGUAGGCGGUGUGUCGCGUCGGCCGUGAAAACCUGCAGCUUAACUGUGGGCUUGCGGUCGAUACGGGCAUCACUGGAGUUCGGCAGGGGAGACUGGAAUUUACGGUGUAGCAGUGAAAUGCGUAGAUAUCGUAAGGAAGACCAGUGGCGAAGGCGAGUCUCUGGACAGUUACGGACACUGAGGCACGAAGGCCAGGGGAGCAAACGGG
rnacentral:rRNA from 1 species